AUGGCGACCGGCGCACGGGUGAGUAACACGUAUCCAACCUGCCGAUAACUCUGGAAUAGCCUUUCGAAAGAAAGAUUAAUACCGGAUGGCAUACGAAUAUCGCAUGAUAUUUUUAUUAAAGAAUCUCGGUUAUCGAUGGGGAUGCGUUCCAUUAGUUUGUUGGCGGGGUAACGGCCCACCAAGACAACGAUGGAUAGGGGUUCUGAGAGGAAGGUCCCCCACAUUGGAACUGAGACACGGUCCAA
rnacentral:rRNA from 1 species